GCUGACGUAGGUGGACGUGUGUGUGUUGUGCUUCUUGUUUCAUGCUAAUUACCACAUGGAGGUGGAACCCCUGUAGCUGAGCAGAAAAACCAGGACUGUCAGACGCCAUACAUGAAUUGGUUCAAGGUCUUCAAACAGAGCUGACCCAGCAGAAGGCCUCUGGUGGCAUACUGUAAUCAAGUGCGCCACUCCCACGGGAUUAUUGCAUUGGCCUUUUGCAUUCAUGCCUGAAUGCUGUCCGGGCAUCUCACAGGCACCAGCUGCGUGACGAUGCCCCA